rnacentral:lncRNA from 1 species
UGACCUAACAUACCAAUAAGUCCAUUCCCUGCAAGCAGCCACAUUAGAGGUUCAGACUUGGUCUUUGAUGCAGUAGUUUUCACAUCAUUACCAUGAAAUGCCCAGUAGCAUUUGGAUAAUAAAUUACAGUAGACAUGAGCUAUGUGUCAAUAUUCCAUCUUUGGAACAAAUUAUGCUUAUUUACAUGUUAAGAAUAGGUGGCUCUAUCUACUUACCCUACUAUGAGUUUUAAUGACUGAUUUUAAGCUACACAGGGUUUUCCAAAAUAUUAUUUCUUUCAGAGCUUCUAAAAGCAACAAUUCUUAUUAAUGUUUGUAAAAGAUUAUAUUGGAAAAAAUAAUGUUAAAAUGAAGGCGCUUUAAGAAACAUUUAAGGACAACAUAAGGUACUACUAUUGGGAAAAAACCUGUACAUAUUUUCAAGCAAAACACUGAAAUAUAGUAGCAGUGUUUAAUUGAAUUGUUUCAAAAUAGUAGUAACUACACUACCUUACAUACUGUACUAUUAUUGAAACCUCAUAAUUACAAUUUGAAUAUACAAUCUGACUUACAAUUUCAACUAUGCACAGCUUCUGAAGCAUAUUUUUCAGGUUUGUUUUUGCACAUGAAUUGAAGUUGAAGUUGGUCCUUGAUUUGGAGAACUAUAACUACCUGGAAGCACUAAAUUUUAGACACAGUUAUUGAUAGCCAACAAAAAAACGUGACAGAGAGAAAAGCAAUAGUAACAUGCGUGGAAAAGCAGCCGUUGCCCUAAGUGCAAUAUCAGAUCUAGAGAGGCCUCUGGGUCUCAGUGAAUAACCCCCAAAGAAACCAAAAUAUACAAGAGGAAGCAUCUGGCCAGUCAAGGGUAUUUCCCACAAUGGGACAAUCCUUAAAAAGUAGAGGCUUUGGACCUUUAGCAUAAGAGAGACACUUUCCAUUCUUUGAUUCCAUGCACACCUGGUAAAAAAGACAGAAGUCUGUCUUGACCCUUCAUCACACGUAAACUGCUGGUGCACUGCAGCAGCUCAAGCUGACUGAGGUGGAGGCAGCCAACCAGAAACUGAAGAAUCCAGACCCCCAUCCUCCUCCUCCUUCCCGUGAAGUCACAGACUAUUUCAUCAAGCCAUCUGAUGUAAGUAAGAGACUUACAUUUUAUAGACAUAGUAGAGUUAGCUCAUUGUUAAACUUCGAAGAAAAGUCCAAAGGUGUGGAAAAAUAUGCUUGCUAACGGUGACUGCAUCUACAAUGACAAUAACGAAACAGCUAGAAAAAUAAUUGUACUGUUUUAAAUAAUGAAAGAAGCUAAUUUUAAAAAAUAUAUUACUAAUCUGCAACAGCUGAUUAACUUAACAAUGAGUAUAUUCCUUUUCUGUGAGCUGAAUUUGGGUUAUUUUUCAAUUAUAAUAUAGCUUCAAAUUAUAAAUAUAACCAUCCCAACAGUAAAGAGAUCAUCAAGGCAAUAACAUCAGAUCAAUUUUACGUCAUUACUUCACACAGAGCACAAGAGGUGCUUUUGGAUAAAGGCUUUAAAAAGACAGUGACUAACUGUAGUAAAGACUCCAGUUCUACAUCAUGGAAUCUUCCAAGCCAAGACACUUUCCACAAACACAGAUUCAGUUUAUCUUUUCUUUCUGGACCAAUCUAGCAGUAUCAACAAAAUCUUUGCCAUUGUAAAGAAUAAUAAAAAAUGUUCCAAUGCUUGCAACUCCCCAGAAGAGUACAUAAGCCAGUGUUUCUGUCCAAGUGUCACCAGCCAUAAGCAAACAGAUAAUGCACAUUGAAAAGGCAACAACCAUAAUAAUAGGCAAAGCCUGGAAUUUCCAGUCCCUUGGAACACUUAAAGGACUAAGAGAUUCUAAUUCAUCCACUAAAUAGUUCCCAAGAAAUAAGUCUAUGGAAUCCUGUCUGAAUCCAUCAGAAAAGUUGAUCUUGUAAUAUCAUUUGAGUGAGUUCCAACCAUCCCUUAUGAGUACUGAGUUCUCUUCUCAGUUCUGCUAAAGUCAGUCUUCAAGGUACCGGUUCCAGCAUAUUGUUUGGCACAAGCAUUUGCUUUGUCAGCCCAGACAUUUUUAUAGAUCUUCUCAAAUUCAUCUUGUUCUUCGAGCUUUUGUCCCACGUGCAAAACACCUGGUCUCUGAAGCUGGGCCUGAAGAGACCGACGAGCUAACAAACUCAGGAUCACAUUGGUUCUAUCCUAGACAAUCCAUACAAUUGCUGGGGAACACACCUUCCUGGUUUGUCACCACUUUGCCGGCAGAGUCUACUAGAAAAUAACUUAAUUCAUCUUGAAUUUCUGAUACCUGAUCCAAUAAAAUACUUAGUUGAUCCCAUCUCAUACUUUUACAUACCUUAUGGAAGUCAAAGGCAAUGUAUCUGAUCAUUCCACUUCCCAAGGAAGACACCAUUGUGCGCAAUUUGUUCUGUUUCUACAAAGUUAGCUGCAUGGCCUUCAGAAUCAAUUCCUCUUAUAUAAUAAUCCACGCCAGCUCUGAAACAACUCCUCCUGGAGAUGAGAAUCCAAUUGAAGUAUUUUCCAUUGAUAGAACAUGAGUGCAUAGUAAUAAAACCAUGUGACACUGGAAGAGCAAAAUGAUGAACCUCAGGCUGAGCAGACAGUUCUCUUAGAAGAUGACCAUUCCAUACAAAUCGCUGAUCUGCCCGUUCCAAGAGACUCAUUUCUUGCAAUUCUGGACUAGUGUUGGACAACUGCUGCAAAGUAUGGGUCAAAUCAUAUGUUGUUGAAAAGUAAAACCCAUCCACACUCAAGACAUGGUUUAGCAUCAUUUUUAUUAUUUUAUUAUUUAUCAUUUUUAUUAUCUUGUAACUGAAUAUCAGUUAAGUGCAACAUUAUCUUCUUAUAAGAAAGGACAUCAAAAUCUGUUGCUUUCCAGAUUACAUGAUUAAAAAAUUCACCUAUUUUUGUAUUUUUGGUAAUGAUGAUAAGAUAAUUACCUGCCACCAGAUGGAUUGUGCCCAGUAUACGAAAUAUUGGUCUUGUGACAGCUGAAGGAGGAACAUCUUUCGUGGCUAUAAGGGUGACCUCUGUGGACACAGGGUCAAUGGUAAGUAUGUCAUCUGCUUCAUUAUCACAAGCUUCCACAUAAAAUUUUUCAGGUAUAAUUUGCAGCUUCAGCCGCUCGUAAGUCAUCGCCGCCAUCCUACACCACCACUUCUUCUUCUCUGCCUCGCUGGCCUGCCCUGAGCCUCACCACCACCUCUGCUAAUGCCUACCUGUCACCCUGGUACCCUAGCAACCAUGCCCGCCUCACCCCAUCCCUUUGCCACCCCACGGAAAGAACUGAAUAUUUUUUUCUUCACAUGAGUAGGAAUGCAAGGAUAUCUGCCCUUUUUUCUAUUCAGGAAGUUACUGGGAGUUGGAGCCAGUACAAACAUGUAAGAAAAAGAAACAAAAGGUAUCCAGAUGAGAAAGGAAGAAUGAAACUUUCUAUUCACAGGUAGCAUGAUUAUUUUCAGAAAAUCCCAAAUAAUCUACAAGAAAGCUCUUAGUACUAAAACGUAAGUUUAGGAUAAAAGAUUGAUAUACAAAAACGAACAUUGAUAUACAAAACAAAACACUGUAUUUCUAUAUAUUGGCAGAAACAUAUAGAAUUCUAUAAUUUUCAGAAAUUCUAUAAUUCUAUAAUUUUCAGAAAUUAAAAAUUUUGAAGCAAUAUCACUUACAAAAGUACCAAAACUAUGCAAUACUUAGGGAUCAUUUUGAUAUAAGGCUUAUCAAAUCUAUAUGUUGAAAAUGUAAAAUGAUGAUGCGAAAAAUUAAACAACAUUUAAAUAAAUGGAGACAGUAUGUUGAAAAUCAGCAACCACUGCGUUAUGAUGUCAGUUCUCCCAGGUUUACUUAUAGAUUAAAAGCAGUACUAGUAAAAAUCCCAGAAGGUUUUGUUGUUGUUGUUUGCUUCCUUUUUGCCGCAGUCUGGCUGGGCACAAUUCAAAAGCCACUUAUCAAACAGAAACUAACUUUAUUUUUAGAACACACACACUGUACCACAGAGUUCUUCAGGAAUUCCCUCAGAGCCCAACUGCCACCACCCGCUUCCCACAAGCCUCUCAACCCCCACACUUCUCCUGCACUUGAGGCCGAUUGGCUGGGUCGCAUGGGCAGAGCUAAAAGAGGCCCCCAAUGAGCAGCUCUGUGGUCUGAAAGGGCAAGGAAACAGCCCAAUGAGCAUCACUGCAGAGGAGCCAAUCAGCUGGCAGCUGGCAGUAUGCUGGGGCUGCUGUGAGCCAAUCAUCAGCUGGCAGCUGGAAGUUUGCUGGGGCCCCUUCACCUGUGGCUCUCAAUACUUUUUGAGUAAUUGACAGACUGAUUUCUACAAGUUGUAUGGAAAUACAAAAGAGGACCUAGAACAGCUAAAAUAAUUUUGAAGAACAAUGUUGGAAGUCUUAUACUACUUUGGAUAUUUUCCAACACCAACAAACAAUUUUCUGAUUCUCGCAAUGCCAACUUCAUAUUGAAUAGUUCAAUUAAAUUCUGAUAUUAUUUGAGGUUAGCAUCAGAUCUCACAAGUUAAAGGAAUCAUCCCCACAAGGCUUCCCGAUUUCCAAUGUCAAUGAUAAUUCCCAGACCACUCAUACUUCUGACCAACUGACUAUAAAUCAGGGGUAUUUUAGUCAGUUUUUUUUAAUCACUAUCAUAAAUACUUGAGAAAAAUAACUUAGAAUAGGAAAGCUUUGUUUUGGCUCAUGGUUUUAGAGGAUUCAGUCCAUGGUCAGCUGGCUCCAAGGCAGGAAUGUCAUGGAAGAAAGUGUGGCAGAGGAAAGGUCCUUAUCCCAUGGCAGUCAGAAAGCACAGAGAAAAGUAGGCUCCUAGGAUGGAUAGUCCCCAGAGCGUGCCCCAGUGAUCUAUAUCCUUCCAAAUGCCUCAUCUUCCUUUAGUUCCUGCCACUUCCCAGUAGUCCAUGCAGCUGUCUGUGGAUUAUUCCCCUGAUGACAUCAGAGCCCUCACCAUCAAUCAUUUUCCAAAAGGCCACCUCUGAACCUUGCUGUACUGAGGACCAAGCCUUCAAGAAAUGAGACUUCAGGGAAAAUACCAGAUCCAGACCACAACGAGGGUUUCUCAUGUCUACCCCCCAUCCAUACUCAAGGCUUAAUAAUUUGCUAGAGUGAAUCACAGAACUCAGGAAAGCACUUUACUUACUAUUACUAGUUUAUUAUAAAAGAUACAAUUCAGGAACAGCCAAACAGAGAAGAUGCACAGGACAAGGUGCUGGGAAGGGACUUGCAUAGAGCUGCCAUAUGGAGCACACCACCUUCCCAGAACCUGGAGGUGUUCACCAACCUGGAAGGUCUCCAAAAUUCAUCAUUAAAAUUUUUUUUUAUGGAGGUUGCAUCAUGUAAGUUGACUGAUUAUUAGCCUCUCUCCUCUCCCAAAAGGUGGGGGCAGUGUAGAUAAGGACUUUAAUCAAGUCUUACUUAGCCUUUCUGAUAGCCAGUCCCCAUUCUGAAGCUCUCUAGAAGUCCAUUGAGAGUUACCUCAUUCCAAAACAAACAAACAAAAAACCCAAGUUUUUAAAAAAUUAGAUAGUAGAAGAACACUUGAAAAUCUUCAUGCCAGGAAAAUUCCUUGCAAGGAAAAUUCCUAGGAAGAAAGGAAGAUAGGUAGGAAGGAAAAGGGGAGAAAAUGUUUGGGGUAAUGGAUAUGUUUAUUAUCUUAAUUAUUGUGAUGACUUUAUGAACAUAAUAAUAUUAAAACUCAUCAAAUUGCAGCUUCAGUAUGUGUAGUUUCUUUCAUUCUACUUUGCCUCAAAAAUCUAGAGCAAAGGAGCAUACAAGACUGAGAAAAGAGAGAAGAGAAAGAUAAA